GAGCUAUCAGAGAGGGAGAAGCCACUUAUAGACUGGGAAAGACCCGGACCAGGACAUGUACCGGCGAAUCAUUCAAGUUCCACGUGCAAAGCUUAGUGUAUGUUGAGCAAGCAACACGCAAGAAAUGGUGCCUCACUGCACUAUAGAAUGUUGUAUAAUUAUGCAAUUAUUAAGAGUCACAGAGGCGAGUUAAGAUGAUUGUGGAGGUGUUGCUGUUGCUGGUCCUGGUUCUCCUAGUUGUGUAUUACUUCCACUACCACCAGCCUGCCAAGAAUCUUCCUCCAGGUCAAUUAGCGGCAGAGUGUCAGCUGAUCAAUACGGACUACGUGGUCUUGUGUGUCAUACAUCAGAAGGGAAGUAUACUAGACAUGAGGAGGUCAACAACAUCAUCAAGAGAAGUCUCGCCACAGCCCGUUGCCCAGCUGAACGGGAACUCCAAGUAAUGAAGUAUGGCAGAAGUCAAAAGUGACCAGAUGGAGUUAUUAUGCUACCCUGGAAGGAUGGUAAACAGAUUGCAUGGGACUAUACCUGUGCCUCUAUGUUGGCAGACACCUACUUGGCAUACUCUGAAGCAGAACAGAGUGGAGCUGCCAGUUUCAGGGAGACCCAGAAGGUCCACAAAUAUGGAAGGCUGCCACCUUGCUGUAACUUCAUCCCAAUAGGGUUGGAGACAC